AUAUUUUAUCUAGAAUAACAACAAUCUGAGAUUCUGAGUACAAGGGAAGAGAUGAUGUGAGUGCUAAAAAAAAGAAAAGAAAAAGGAAAGGCUGUUCUACCGAAACAGGCCAUCCUAUUCCUUGACCAAAGCCCAGCGUCCCCGGACUGCUAGAUGAGUCUAUGAGAAGCCCAGGGUCUCCGGCCCAAAGGGAAUCAGAAAUUAUCGUAAAAGAAAACGGAAAGCCGAAACGAGUCAUGGCGAUCUGAACGGCCUUUUGGGCUGCCCUCUGCAGAUUUUGCGCCGGCGACCUUGCUCAGCCUCACGCCGCCGCACCGCGGCAAGCAGACAAGCAGUCCAGCGCGCCGAGGAGCGAGGUCCGUUGCUGGGCGCCGUGGUCGCCCAUUGGUGUGUCCACUGUCCAGUGGUUUGGGCGCGCGAGUUUGGGGGGAUUGGUGAUUGGACGCAUGAUGUGGGCGCACAUCGGAGAGGGAUGUGGCAUGUGCCUGCGGCUGCGGGGCAGCAGGGUGCGGAGGCGCGAGGCGAGGAGGCGAGCAGCGGAGGUGCGUGUCUCAUCCGACGUACGUUUUAGAUCAUCAUGCCGUUCUGAGGAUUCGCUCGAAUGUCAGUGUCGUUUUGCAGUUUCGAAAACCUCUCAUGUAGAUCAGUGGUGAUACGGGGAUAAGCGGAUUGUUGGUCUCUUGGCACCGGCGCACUGCCUGCAAUGCAAUGAAGCAUAACUUCUAAAGUAGCAACAAUGCAAUUUCUCAAGUUUUUUUAGCUGCAGGCUUGCAGCAAACAGAGAAGCAAAGAUUUCAGGUGACGUUGGUGGGGAUGGAUCACGGAUGUGCACGACUCGGAGGAGUACACUAGCUCCAAUGUGUUGGAGACCUGCCUUAAUUAACAUUAUUUUUGUUGGGAAUUGGAAUCUGACCACAUUCAGAUAGCAAAGUUCAGCUUGCAUCCAGCUCACUCCCAGUGUACGUCGAUUUUGUGCAUAGCUCGUGCUCAUUCUACCUGAUACAUCAACGAUGGACUUUGCGGAUACGUGUGCAACGACAACGAGGUCACUGGAGAUUGGAGAUUCUGUUCCAGAAUUGUCUCGUGCAGUCGUGCGCAAACUGAAGACUUUUGCCAAACGUAUGGCUGUACGACCUACCAAUGGCAAGUCACUAUUGUCAUCUGCAUUAGGUGUCGAUGGCACAGGAUUAUGCUUUCCAAUUCCCAAUUAGUACCUAGCCGUAGCAGGUACUGUUGGAAGGGGACGUGCGAACAGUAUGUUGAUGUUCCUUCGUCACUGUUUGAUCUGAUGGGGACGAACUACAGAUACUGAAAGUAAUCAAGGAACUAACUAAAGAAUGGGCCCGGAACAGAUACUAACGAGCUCUAGUGUU